AACGAACGCUGGCGGCAUGCCUAACACAUGCAAGUCGAACGAGACCUUCGGGUCUAGUGGCGCACGGGUGCGUAACGCGUGGGAACCUGCCCUUAGGUUCGGAAUAACUCCCCGAAAGGGGUGCUAAUACCGGAUAAUGUCUUCGGACCAAAGAUUUAUCGCCUUUGGAUGGGCCCGCGUUGGAUUAGCUAGUUGGUAGGGUAAAAGCCUACCAAGGCGACGAUCCAUAGCUGGUUUGAGAGGAUGAUCAGCCACACUGGGACUGAGACGCGGCCCAGACUCCUACGGGAGGCAGCAGUGGGGAAUAUUGGACAACGGGCGAAAGCCUGAUCCAGCAAUGCCGCGUGAGUGAUGAAGUCGUUAGGGUUGUAAAGCUCUUUUACCCGGGAUGAUAAUGACAGUACCGGGAGAAUAAGCUCCGGCUAACUCCGUG
rnacentral:rRNA from 1 species